UGGACAUGUUUGUACCUGUACAGUGGAUC
rnacentral:piRNA from 1 species